AGACUGGGCGGAUAUGUUUCGGACUUCAGUGGAUCGGGUUUUUGGCAUGACCUGGCUUUUGAGCCCUCUCUCAAACCUUAUCUUAUGUCCAACACAGAGGGUCUUUUUUUUAUUUUUUUCCUCGGGUAAGUGCAUCCCCUAAAUCAGUAAAUCCUACUAGAUUGUUCCUCAACUUUCAUAAUCGCAAUCGAGUUUGGUCUUUCUGUCAGAGUGAAAUCCUUAUCUCAUAUGGAUUAGAAUUGAGGGACUUUCCCAAGCCUAAUCGAAUUUCGUAUCCUUGUCCUAGAGGGGGCAGAAUUUAGGGUUCAUCCUCAAAUUAUAUUUAUACACAGAAGCCUCGAUCUUUAGGGAUCCAAAAGCGAGUAUGGAGGUAUUUUACUAUAAUCACGCUGCGGUGCAAAAAAGGGCAGCCCAGCUCAUAGGCUCUUGGGAGGAGGACAAGCUGUUCAUCAGAUUGAAGUUCUACAAGUCAAGCCAUUGGCACCGUGUGACAAGCGAUCCAAUUGUUGAAUACUACAAUACUAAAAUAAGCCCAAAGGAGAUUUUUGGGUAAAGUAAUCUCAUUUCAAGCACCAAUUAUCCGACAACUACGACAGUAACAGGGAGUAUGAAACGCUCAUCUGCGAGUAUCUGAAGAGUAUGGGUGUGCCGGAAGAUGAACAUCCUGCUGUUGUUGACAAGCUAUUCCGGGUGGUUGAGGCUGCCGUCUCCCCUGUGGACACUGUUGUAGUGUUUGUGUGGGACACCAUUUACCGCGUCGGAGAUGGACAUGAACCAUAUAGGCCCAAUUUGAUUCCAGCUAGCAGAUCAUCAAUCCAGGGUUUGGAGCAAGUGACACUCGAUACUGAUACCUCGCCCUCCUGUGCUAUUUGUUUGGAGGAUUUUGAACAAGAACCCAUUACUCGGCUGCCCUGCAGACACCAUUUUCAUGUCCAUUGCAUUGUUCAGUGCCUGGAGAUCAGCCACAUGUGUCCCCUCUGCCGAUACCCAAUGCCAACAGAAGAAGAUUAAGCCCUGCUCAACCUGCCAAGAUCAAGAGAUUGCAUGGCUUCUUUGCAAGGUCCAAGCAAAGAAGGAAACAGAAACAAUCUGCAGUGAAUUGUUUAUCACUUGUACAAUCUUCCUCGAAAGCAUAUAAAUGUCCUCUUGGUAGAUCUGAACAGAAAAAACUGCCAUUGAAAUUAUGGUCAUAUUGAUGAUGGUCAAAUUUGGUGUGUGGUGUUCUGCUGGUUUAGCAACCUCGGAGUCUAUCAGAGUUUUUGAAAGCAUCUCUUCACACUUGGUUGUAAGUUUGAAUAAGAUUAUAAUGGGUCAUUGGUUGAUGGGGUUCUCGAUGUGAUAUAGCUACUCCUGUUGAUGGUCAUGAAAGACUGGAGAGUUGACCAUAACAGAAUUCCCAAUAAUGCUGGUGCAACGGCUGUUGCUAAACCGCUGCCGGCACUAAAUGGUAAGUUAACGGGACUGGCCUUCAGGGUUCCCACUGUUGAUUUUACUGUGGUUGACCUCACACUGAGACUUGAGAAGAAGGCUACUUAAGAUGUGACUGAAAAUGCUAUCAAGUUGUAAAUUGCAGGAAAAAUCUGAGGGUAACUUAAAGGGAAUCCUUGGAUACAUGGACAACGAUGUGGUGUCCCACUGACUUUGUGGAUGGCCACAGAUUUCAGGUAAAAACAACAAUUUCAUUAGCAUAUGUAUUUCAUCCCAACAUGGUGGAAAUACAAGAUUCUGUUAUUCAACAGUCGCCCUCGUGUGCUAUUUGUAUGGAAGAUUUUACAGCAUCAGGGGCAGGUGUUGGUGUCGAACCGAUUAUGGUUUGCCUUGCAUUGCGUUGUGCCAUGACUGGAGAUCAGUCACUUGAUUCCUCUCUUGCCCAUACCCAAUGCCAACUGCAGACAAUCAGGCAAAUUAAGCCCUGCUCAAUCAAGAGGUGCAAUUAGUUGCUACUGAAACAAAGUGUAUCAUCUUUUAUUUGUUCUUUGUAAGAGCCAUGUCUCGAAUAAAAUGCAUCAUCUUUUUCUGUGUAAGAGCCAUGUGUGUGGGAAUUUGUAUUUGGUAUCUUAUACAAUUUGGUGUUGGUAGGCUU